rnacentral:tRNA from 1 species
UGGAAUGGCUCAGUUGGUAGAGCAGCUGAUUCGUAAUCAGCAGGUCGUCGGUUCGAGUCCGAUUUCC